AUUGAACGCUGGCGGCAUGCCUUACACAUGCAAGUCGAACGGUAACGCGGGGCAACCUGGCGACGAGUGGCGAACAGGUGAGUAAUGUAUCGGAACGUGCCCAGUUGUGGGGGAUAACUGCUCGAAAGAGCAGCUAAUACCGCAUACGACCUGAGGGUGAAAGCGGGGGAUCGCAAGACCUCGCGCAAUUGGAGCGGCCGAUAUCAGAUUAGGUAGUUGGUGGGGUAAAGGCUCACCAAGCCAACGAUCUGUAGCUGGUCUGAGAGGACGACCAGACAACCUGGGACUGAGACACGGCCCAGACUCCUACGGGAGGCAGCAGUGGGGAAUUUUGGACAAUGGACGCAAGUCUGAUCCAGCCAUGCCGCGUGCGGGAAGAAGGCCUUCGGGUUGUAAACCGCUUUUGUCAGGGAAGAAACGCUCUGGGUUAAUACCUCGGGGUAAUGACGGUACCUGAAGAAUAAGCACCGGCUAACUACGUGCCAGCCGCCGCCGUAAUAC
rnacentral:rRNA from 1 species